rnacentral:piRNA from 1 species
UAUAUAUGGGUGCUGGAAAUUGAAA